CUAAAUAUCAAACAUAUUCUUA
rnacentral:miRNA from 1 species